GAAAUCGUACCCCAAACCGACACAGGUGGUCAGGUAGAGAAUACCAAGGCGCUUGAGAGAACUCGGGUGAAGGAACUAGGCAAAAUGGUGCCGUAACUUCGGGAGAAGGCACGCUGACACGUAGGUGAAGUGAUUUACUCAUGGAGCUGAAGUCAGUCGAAGAUACCAGCUGGCUGCAACUGUUUAUUAAAAACACAGCACUGUGCAAACACGAAAGUGGACGUAUACGGUGUGACGCCUGCCCGGUGCCGGAAGGUUAAUUGAUGGGGUCAGCGCAAGCGAAGCUCCUGAUCGAAGCCCCGGUAAACGGCGGCCGUAACUAUAACGGUCCUAAGGUAGCGAAAUUCCUUGUCGGGUAAGUUCCGACCUGCACGAAUGGCGUAAUGAUGGCCAGGCUGUCUCCACCCGAGACUCAGUGAAAUUGAACUCGCUGUGAAGAUGCAGUGUACCCGCGGCAAGACGGAAAGACCCCGUGAACCUUUACUAUAGCUUGACACUGAACAUUGAGCCUUGAUGUGUAGGAUAGGUGGGAGGCUUUGAAGUGUGGACGCCAGUCUGCAUGGAGCCGACCUUGAAAUACCACCCUUUAAUGUUUGAUGUUCUAACGUGGACCCGUAAUCCGGGUUGCGGACAGUGUCUGGUGGGUAGUUUGACUGGGGCGGUCUCCUCCUAAAGAGUAACGGAGGAGCACGAAGGUUGGCUAAUCCUGGUCGGACAUCAGGAGGUUAGUGCAAUGGCAUAAGCCAGCUUGACUGCGAGCGUGACGGCGCGAGCAGGUGCGAAAGCAGGUCAUAGUGAUCCGGUGGUUCUGAAUGGAAGGGCCAUCGCUCAACGGAUAAAAGGUACUCCGGGGAUAACAGGCUGAUACCGCCCAAGAGUUCAUAUCGACGGCGGUGUUUGGCACCUCGAUGUCGGCUCAUCACAUCCUGGGGCUGAAGUAGGUCCCAAGGGUAUGGCUGUUCGCCAUUUAAAGUGGUACGCGAGCUGGGUUUAGAACGUCGUGAGACAGUUCGGUCCCUAUCUGCCGUGGGCGCUGGAGAACUGAGGGGGGCUGCUCCUAGUACGAGAGGACCGGAGUGGACGCAUCACUGGUGUUCGGGUUGUCAUGCCAAUGGCACUGCCCGGUAGCUAAAUGCGGAAGAGAUAAGUGCUGAAAGCAUCUAAGCACGAAACUUGCCCCGAGAUGAGUUCUCCCUGAGACUUUAGGUCUCCUGAAGGAACGUUGAAGACGACGACGUUGAUAGGCCGGGUGUGUAAGCGCAGCGAUGCGUUGAGCUAACCGGUACUAAUGAACCGUGAGGCUUAACCUUACAACGCCGAAG
rnacentral:rRNA from 1 species